CAGAAGAAGGCGGGACCUCCAGCUAGUGGGGCGGACGGCUCUCGUCAGGAGGGGUACUGCCGCUCGUUCAACGUCUGUGCCAGCCCCAACUGUUUGCCCUCGCCUGUACCUGAGGGCCUGAUGUAGCGGAUUGUCAUCCCCUCUGCAAUGAAGGAAAUCUGCUCCAGCAUCCUGAUCAUGGACUGAAGAUCCACGUUAAUAGAGCUGGAUGAGUCCUGCGUGACCUGAUGUAUCCACAUAUCUGUUUAGCAUACUCUGCUAAAUGGCUGAAAGCUUGGCUGCCCCUUCAGGGCACUGCUAACGCAGCCAUUCAUGUCUCACUCUGACGGUCAGACCACCACGAUGACGCUGCCCUCCUCCUCCUCCUCCUCCUCCUCCUCCUCCUCCUCCUCUUCCCGUUACACUCACAUUGAGCCUUCCCCGUUAGAGCUUAGAUUUGAGUCUUUGAACAAGUGAAGUGUGUUUGUGUCUCUGAAUGUGAUUUUAUAGCCAGUGCCAACAAACAGAACUUUGUGUUUUUUUUAAAGAUGGUGCUGCCUUUGCCUCUGCCUCUGCCUCUGCCUUUGCCUCAUUUUUGGGAUAAGCUUCAUAAAAUACUUAAGCAUCAGAUGUGGCAGAGAUGCACUUAUCCCAGAUCAGAUCCUGAGAUUAACACAGCUUGCUACAUUCUGGCAAAGCUGUAACAGAGAUUAAUUGGCUGUGUUUACAGAAAGCAUCCAUUUCUCACGACAAAGCUGCAGACAGCGGGUUAAUGAGAUGUCGUGAAGUAUUAUGUAAGUUAUUUAUUGUGAUAAGAUACAGUUACACUGUACUGACAUCAGUUGUAAGGAAACAAAGACAAAAACAUAUUUUAGGAGAGAAGAUACUAAAUGUUGUAGUUAAAUAUGUCUGGACUUUACGUCUCCUGUAGACAGGCUGCAGUAUUGAUUCAUUAUUAUAAUUACUUACUUAGACAAUGUAUGCUGUUAGUCCAGUGUCCAACAGGCUAUACAUAAUUUAGCAUUCGGCUGUAACAUCAAUCUUUAAAUGAAACAACUUAACACUCUGCCAGAUUUCUUGCAAAAUGUAUGCCAUGCAAAUGUUGCAUCCCUCCGCAUUCCUGAAUAGUAGUAAGUAGUAAAGAGGACGAAUAAAUACAAUUUGAUGUUU